rnacentral:rRNA from 1 species
AACGAACGCUGGCGGCAGGCUUAACACAUGCAAGUCGAACGCCCCGCAAGGGGAGUGGCAGACGGGUGAGUAACGCGUGGGAACGUACCUUUCAGUUCGGAAUAACUCAGGGAAACUUGUGCUAAUACCGGAUACGCCCGCAAGGGGAAAGAUUUAUCGCUGAAAGAUCGGCCCGCGUUGGAUUAGCUAGUUGGUGGGGUAAAGGCCUACCAAGGGCGACGAUCCAUAGCUGGUCUGAGAGGAUGAUCAGCCACACUGGGACUGAGACACGGCCCAGACUUCUACGGGAGGCAGCAGUGGGGAAUAUUGGACAAUGGGCGCAAGCCUGAUCCAGCCAUGCCGCGUGUGUGAUGAAGGCCUUAGGGUUGUAAAGCACUUUCACCGAUGAAGAUAAUGACGGUAGUCGGAGAAGAAGCCCCGGCUAACUUCGUG